AUGAGUACAGUGAAGAAAGUGGACGGUGAUGAGAUAUUGUACUUAAAUGAGAUCCACGAUAAGGUAUCCAGGACUUUGACAUCCAACGACGUGGGGGCAGUUCCAGCCAUCCAUUCCAUUCCAUCAAUCGGCCUGCGCGCUGGCUUCUCAACGGAAGCCGACGAGGACAAAUCAGUCUCCAAAUCGAAAAUCGACGACGGUAACGAUGAAAACCUGAAUGGACAGCCAUUGUCAGCAAUCGGUUUUAAUAAAGAUAGGUCUCUGGCGGAGACGAAAUCGCACCCAGAUUGGCCGAAUAACGUGUUCCUGCUUGCACCGUCAACCGUACAGCUCGCCACACCAGAUGUAAACAUCUACCUGCACAAUAAGACCCUGGCCCAGGGCAUGAUGGACGUGGCACUACUGUCUGCCAACGUUAAUCAAAUGCGCUAUGUUCUGCAGACAGAUGGUAGGCAUCCGUACUUCUACCCUUCGCUGAUCAUGAUCAGCAUGAGCCUGUUCCUGCAAAUCGCUGUAGGCAUUGGUCUAAUAUGGGAUGUCUAUACUGUCAAGAAGCAUGAGCAGAUGUGCAAGGCGAACAAAGCUAAUAACUGGAGCGUAAUAGGCAUUUUUCUUGUUACGAUAUUAAAUGUCUUUAUCUUGAUCUUCGUUUAGCGUCGUCGAUCAAAUACAACCAAGCGUUACGGCGUAA